AUUGAACGCUGGCGGCAGGCCUAACACAUGCAAGUCGAGCGGAUGAAGGGAGCUUGCUCCUGGAUUCAGCGGCGGACGGGUGAGUAAUGCCUAGGAAUCUGCCUGGUAGUGGGGGAUAACGUCUGGAAACGGGCGCUAAUACCGCAUACGUCCUGAGGGAGAAAGUGGGGGAUCUUCGGACCUCACGCUAUCAGAUGAGCCUAGGUCGGAUUAGCUAGUUGGUGGGGUAAAGGCCUACCAAGGCGACGAUCCGUAACUGGUCUGAGAGGAUGGUCAGUCACACUGGAGCUGAGACACGGUCCAUACUCCUACGAGAGGCAGCAGUGUGGAAUGUUAGACAAUGGUCGAAAGCCUUAUCCAGCCAUGCCGCGUGUGUGAAGAAGGUCUUCGGAUUGUAAAGCACUUUAAGUUGUGAGGAAGGGCAGUAAGUUAAUACCUUGCUGUUUUGACGUUACCAACAGAAUAAGCACCGGCUAACUUCGUG
rnacentral:rRNA from 1 species